rnacentral:rRNA from 1 species
GUGAAUUGCAGAUUUUCAGUGAAUCAUCGAAUCUUUGAACGCACCUUGCGCUCCUUGGUAUUCCGAGGAGCAUGCCUGUUUGAGUGUCAUCGAAUUCUCAACCAUGUCUUGAAUUAGGCAUGGCUUGGACUUGGGAGUUGCUGGCGGCCUCGUCAGCU